UUUAACAGUAGGUCGGGAACUUGAACGCAGCCUUCAGCGCGUCGAUUUCUGGGUAGAACCACUCAACAGGUGCGGGUGGUGAAACUGAGCACGUGCCUCACGUCAUGUCCCUUUUUGAGAGCGGAGGGUGAGAGAGAGCAUUGCAGCUAAGUGGAUGCAUGUCGCUGGAUAUAAUAUGAUGUCAUCAGACGUGUGGUCUCGUGCACGAAGCUUUAUCUGAUCAGAUGGACUGGAAACAGACCGACAGGUAUUUCUGUUUAAACUCAUUUUCAGUACGUCAUCUUUAAGGUUUUGUGAAUUACGAAUGAUGUUGAGAGGUUUGCUUCAAUAGAAUAGUAAUGACUUAAGAAAUAGAUUUAGUACAUCAUUAAAUCGUUGAAAUAAGUUCAUCCUAAGAAGAACAGUGGGUUUCUACAUGUUAAAAUGAUGCCUAUUUGAAUAUCCAGUAUCAGGUUAUUGGAAAUGCUGUUACUCGGGUUGGAAGGUUUACAAAAAAAGCUCAGUAUUAAUUGUAUUUUUCUGCACUAAGUUAUAUUAGUUUUUCUUUCUUUAUCACAGUGUUCAUGGAUCCUUCAGAUUAGUCUUAAAUUUAAUUUGACAAAUGAAAUGAUCUUAAAUUUGAAUAUAAUUCAUAAUUUUGAAUUGUAUGCUAUAAACAUGCCAAAAUGCACAAAACCUUUUUUUUGAAUUAUUUUUUUUUUAAACCAAAUCUUUCUGGUCACACGUGUAGUUAGUUAAGGUACGUUCACACACACAGCGACUCACAGCGACAAAGCGUCCGGAGACGUUUUCAGUGAGGGCUGGCGACAUGAGCGACUGCAACCGUUGGUGGCCAGGUGUGGGCGUGUUUAAGUUAAGAAAAGUUUCACUUCAUGAAAAUUUGGAGCGACUUGGUACAACGACCUCCAACAGGAGUGAAGACAGUAGAGCGCACGUGAUCCGUGAUUGUUUCGGGACCCGGGCGGUCCGGCCGCAAUAGAUGGCCGCAAUGGCAAAAAGCACAUGCUGCUUCUCCUUCAUCUUGUAGCAUAUGGCGCAUAUACACACUGGUGAAUUUUAUAUACACACGCUCUCCCUCCAGAACAUUUCAUUUUAGCAGAAAGAAAACUGGUUUGUUGUCAAAAGUGGAACUCUAGUUAGUAGGAACGCCGAAUAGCGACUUCAUAGUAUAGCGACUGGCAACUUGCAGCGAUAAAACCGCUGCAUGUGUGAAUGUAUCUUUUACUGUGGAGAUCAAUUUUGACGUGCUUCUCGAUAUUUAUGUGAAAAAAUACAUUUUCACACCAGACGCAGUACGUGCCUCACAGGGUUUUCAAUACAGUUCUGUACUGAGGAUCUUGGGGAAAUGGAGAGUUUUUUUUAUUUUGUUUUUUGACCAGACAAUGGCCUGAUUUAAAAUUUAUUUAAAAAUAUAUAUUUAUUUAUUUUAAUUGAAAUAUUCUAAAUUUGUUUAUUAAAAAGCAUAAUUUCCUUAUUAUUAUUAUAACUUUUCUUUUUAAUGCAACACUACUGUAUUUCUGGCAGUUUGUGAGUAAGUCUAUCUAUCACCAGGCGUGUUGUGCUUCACAGAAAUGCCUUUGAGAAUCUUGAUAUGAUAUAAUUUGUAAUAUCACCCAACCCAACUGUCAAUGUCCUUCUAACGUCCAGGCUUUUAUUAUAGGGGCAUUUUGAAUUAAAAUUUUUCUUUGUUAUUUUCUAAAUAUCUGGAAAUGUCAGGGUUUUUUUUUCUUUUUUCUUUUACACAUGGAAUAUCAUCAUCAUUGCAAAUUUGGUCUUCUGGAAAAUCUCCAGCAUGAAACACAUUAAAUGUGUUUCUGUAAAAAUAUUUGUGAUGUGCUUAGUGAUUCUGGUGCUAAAUUGCUGGUUGUCGCUGCAUUUUCAUUAUUCCCGUGAGAAGUCACAGGGUGACGUUGCUAGGACGGGUACAGUGGCGUUUAAUAUAAGGGAUAAUGGUCAGGUUUUGCUGUGAGCUCCUUAAAAACAAGAGAGUUAGAACUUCCUUCUUCACUCGCCAUUUUCAAGUGAUGUUCAACAUCAUAGAACAUAGUGGAGACAGUACAAAAAUUGGACUCCCAGAAUGCAUUGCAGCGGUAUGAUGCAGUUGCGCCUGGUUAUGGCAGAGACUUGGCUCCACUAGUUGGCGAUAUACGAAACGAUGAUUGCGAUGGCGGUAUUAGCAUGAAAGUUGAAGCUGAUCUGUUUGGGCAGAUUGCAAAGAUGAGAAGGUGAGACAGCUGGACAAGACUGAAAGACUAAAGUGCUGCUGCAUCGCUCUCUUUAGUUAAAGAUGAUCUAAGGGGGCUAAGUACCACUGCACCACUAUCAGCAGGCACCUGAAUGGCAUUUUGAGUAAUGCAGUAUAAUGUAAUGUUUGUUAUAAAAUAAAUCUUGGACACUAAAUGAUUAUGAAGAUUAAGUCAGGUUAAUUUUUCA